rnacentral:lncRNA from 1 species
CAUGACCCUGCCUGCCUAACUUCCUCUUGCCACCCAUGCUGCUGACUGCAGUAGUGGGUCAGUAAGCUUUCCCUGAGUCGUCCUUGGUGGGGCUGGGCCAGACCUAAGACUGGAACCAGGGAGACAUACAAGGCACACUCCCUGCCCUGGCUGAGUUCACCCAGGCCUGAGAAAGAUAAAAGGAGAAAAGAAGCGGAAGCAGAGACAUCUGGGAGAGUCCUGAGUGAAGGUGGCCAUGUGAGAAGACAGGGGAGGGAGAGCAAGAGUGGAGCCGCCAAUCAAGACAGGCUGCCUGGGCCAAGACACUGGCCAAGAAGCCAUAAGGCCCAGGAUUCUGCACUGAAAUCUCCCCUCAAGCUCUCUGUGGCGUCAAGUAGAAGACUGAACACCAACCAAAGUGAGGCCAGGACCUGUCUGCCAGAAAGCAUGCUCCAGCAAUUGCUUGCUGUGCUGUGCUGUGCUGUGCUGUGCUGAUAUCUUGCUCUUCAAGUGUGGCCUUUGGAUGCUCUCCCACAAGAGUCUCGGUGUCUGCCUCAGACGGAAGUCCUCCCGGAUGGACAUUCUACCUGUGCUGAGCUCAGGGUCCCUUCUGCAGGGAAGGGUACAUUCAGAGAUGACUGACUGCCCAUAUACUUCCCAUCAGCACAGAUGAGGACAUGGUGUAGGUGCUCAGGACCCAAGCUGUGUAGCUGAGGAAGUGGUGUGGGUGUGUGACCACUGUGCUGCCCUCAGUGAGACCCUCCAAGACGACAGCCAUAUGGUGAGGAAGUCCUCCCAGGACCCUAGUAAAAAAUGGUGAAGGCUCUGCCCUUUGCUAGAACUUGUCCCCCUACUGGGGAGGUCCUGCCCUGCAGUUGGCUGAGCACAAGGGCCUCUGUCUUCUAGACUUGGUGCUCCAGGUGGUGGAAAGCCGGCUCCUCUGGAUGACUGUCCGGAUUUCUGACACCUGUUCCUAGCCAGCAAGCGCCACCUGGUGGCCUCAGGUCACAGAUACUCCGGUGCAAGUGCUGUCUCCAAGGCUACAAGUUGGCCUCGCUCAAAGAUCUAUUUCAAGUCAGGAUGAAGCUCAGUCGGCUUGCACCUGGCCCGGAACCUGGGAACUGCUCUUUUAUCUCUGACCAUUUCUGAUGGGUGGGAUGAGUGCCAGCUGAGGAUUCUAUCACCGAGACCACAGUGUGUGUUGGUAUGUGCUUGUGUGUGUGCACGCACACGUGUGCAAGUCUGUCUGUGUGUGUACAUGUGUGUGUGUGUGUGUACAUGUGCUGCUGGGAGAGAGACCUUAUAUUACAUGAGGCAUAGCAUAAGAGAAGAGACUGAGUGAAGAAGUGAAUGGGCUAGGCUUUCCUGGGGAAUACCCCUGUUUUCGUAAGCAGCUCAAACGAAUCGCUAAUUAUUAAAUGUGGACUACCAAAGACUGCCACAUAGAUUCCCGAGUCUGUG